rnacentral:tRNA from 1 species
UCGCCUCGUAGCGCAGGAGGGUGCCGGUGUGUGCGGCAUCCUCGAAGGUCGACAGCGCCGCGAUCGACGACUGUUCGGGUCCGCUCGGGGCAGUC